AGGGUAGAGCUCUUUUUAAACUAGGGGAGUCAAUAAACUUUACUGAAUUUAGAUAAACUACGAAUAUUUGCUAAAUUUAAGAUUAUAGUCAGACUUUGAGUGCUAAGAUUUUAAGUCAAGAGGGAAACAGCCCAGAUUAUUAACUAAGGCCCAUAAAUGAAAGCUAAGUGAUAAAGAAAGUGAUUAGACCAAGAUAGUUAGAAGGUGAGCUUGGAAGCAGCUAUCCUUUAAAAAAUGCGUAAUUGCAUACUAAUUGA
rnacentral:rRNA from 11 species